UAUAUACAAAAUAACUUAUUUUGUAGCCACUUUGAGUUAUGAUAAUUACUAUAUUAAUUUACAAGAUUAUAGUAACUCCUUACUAAGUGGUUUACUAUAGCAUUACGGUAAAUAUCUCCAUGUGUUAACCAAACUAUCGUAAAUAUAUAUACAUAUUAUAGUAAAUUAGUAUAUAAAAUUAUCGUAAAUAGAGGUGGCUACAGAAUAACUUAUUUUGUAGCUA
rnacentral:pre_miRNA from 1 species